CAGGGAAGGUUUUCUGAUGGACAAUGUCAUGUUGAAAAUUAGGGGGGAAAGGGAUAACAAAUUGUGCAUUGAAUAUGUAGGAAAACAACUUGGGAUGCUCACACUGGUUGCAUCUACAAGAACAUGUUCAUUGAUGAAAGAGCAUUCUCCAGGGCCCGAAAUGUGCGGUUUCUAUUCCAGAAUGAUGUGAAUUUGUACCUGAUUCUUCCUGAGAAAUCAAGCCAGAUCCAUGUACUUUACAUUCAACUGUUUGGAGAAUACAUUGGAGUGGAAGCACAGAUGCCAUAAGGAGAUGUACAUACGCCCAUGGUGCAGGAAAGACCUCUCCAGAGCACAAGAAUAACUUUGGUGAACAAUCUGGAAGUACAAGAGACAGAUGGAAUGUUUCAGCAUAAGAAACAUGAAUCAUCAUGAGGAAGAGUCAAUUCUGAUGAGUAUGAAAUACUGUAUAAGCAAUUGUAAUAUCAGGAAUUAAUACUUCAUCAUGAGGAAGUUCAAAUAUAGCUUGUAGAAGGCCACUAUCUUGAGUUAUUGGCAGGUAUUGCUUGCUUAGCAUCAUCGUUCUCUCGGACUCGAUUCCAACACAUUGGUCAAACAGACUGGAGAAAGAGGGGAAAAAGGAAAAUAAGAAGAUUGCUUAUCAUCAGGUCGAACCAAGUAGCUCCUGCUUCGUCUUCACCGAGAACGGCUACAGUUACAGAUCCAAUAACUUUGCACUUGCACACUGUGUCCCAGUCGUACAUUGUUAUGGUUACCUAUAUACAGAAGAGUAUAUCAGGCAGGCAACCAAAGUUCGGCAUCAAAUGUUAAAAGGAGCUCAUCUUUUGAACGGUUUCAUUGAGCAGUGCAAAACUGCAAAUGUCACAUUAGAGAAGCUAGCUGAUGCUGCACGUGCAAGCUGGUCGCCAAUUAUGCUGUGUUAUUUGGACCACCAUUUUUCUGACGGGAAGAAAUCUGCCACAUGAUUAUGACAAAGCAAAGUGACUUUGAGAAUUUUACCAUGCGACUUUCUGCUACAAUUCUGAAAGCUCAGCUGCAAGCCAGGCAGCCAGCAAUAUAUACCGCUUGGCCGAAGGAUCCAAAUAUCUAAUCAGCAAGGAUGAAAAGUAGUACUAGUACAAUAGUGCAAAAGUAUAGCUUUGUAUCAGGGACCAAGGCUGGCAUACACCCUGUGCCGUUUUUCACAUAGCAUUUGUCUAAUCUGAAUCCAUCACACUCAUACGUUUUUGCUUUUCUCGCACGCUUAAGAUGAGAAAAACAGACUGGAUUAAAGCUGGAUUAACUAUUUUAUCUUUUUGGGGGCAACCUGAGACACUAUGAUUAGAGUUUCUUGGUGUAUAAUGGAAUUGUAAUGAUGGACACUGCAUCACCUUUUCA